GGGAUGAGUAAAAAUAGCUACUACGUGUGUCAGUUAGUGUUGGUGUGUUGUCGGAUCUGCCUGGGCUGGGGCCAAAAAAAAAUAAUAAUAAUGGGUCUUUCGGGCCUCGGAACACCCAGAGAAGGACCCGCUCUUGCUUCUUCGGCCAAGAAGACUUGGUACCUUACACUACGCCAGCUUGUGUAUUUAUUUACAACAGAAGAUGUCAAACUAAUUCCCGUUUAAUUCUGCUGAUGUCUGGUUAGCAGCAGCAGCAGCAGCACAACCUUAUUGACCAGCCAUCUCAAGCAAUACCAUGUUCCAUUCGGCUAAUAUCCACAUGGUGCAGAGAGUUCGACGCCCAAAUGCACUGCGCACAUAUUUUGCUUCUUCGUCCAUUAUUCCCGGUAAAGAACCAUUUCGACGAGGCGUUCUCUUCAGCACUGUGGCCGGAAUAAUGUUGACCAUUGGCGGACUUUUAACAUGGAUGAGCUUCAAUAAAAUCUUCGGGGCCCGUGCUUCCAUGAUGGGUCCUCUUCUGAUUGCCUUAUCUCUAGGACUGAUGUUCUUUUCUCUGAGACAGUUCCUCAUUGCUAGAAAACAAAGUCAUACAGCAGCCAGAGAAAGAAUUCGGUUCCAGGCCUUAAGUCGAGAGGCAGUGGCCGCCAUGGUAAUAAACAGAGAAGAUGGAAUCGGUGUGCCGUGACUGUUAUAAUGGACACAGUUGACAUGAGGUCAGAUGCAUCAUGGAGAUCUGCCCCUUCCAUGGAAUAUGCGCCACCUUCCUACAGCGAGGUCCUACAACGGACCCACUCACCCUCGUCGUCAAGCGUCCCACAGCUCUCUCCACCUGAUCGAGACUCUGAACCUCCACCAUCCUACGACGAAGCUGUGGCCGCACUUCACUGCCGUAAUACAGUCACAACAGAGCCCAGCCCUCAAUAUACUGAAUAUAUCACCCACGAACACUUAAUUCCAGCCACUCUGGAACCAACAGAGCCGCAGUCCUCACCAUUAACCAUACAAACUCAGCAACCAUUCACAUACUGUAAUUCUAGUAAAGAGGACACUUCAAUAUUACCUACAGUAACUGGUUAAAUCUUUCUCAAUUACCAGUCUAUCUAAUUAUAUGAAUAUAUUUAUUAAACAUACUGGUUACCAUUAUGGAUGUGAGUGGCACUGACAUGAUAAAUAAAGCUUGGUUAUACUUGAUUUUCAGUUGUAAUUAAAAAAAUUAAAGUUAA